UACGAAGGGGGCGAGCGUUGUUCGGAAUUACUGGGCGUAAAGGGCGCCUAGGCGGCCGAUCAAGUCAGAUGUGAAAGUCCUGGGCUUAACCUGGGGACUGCAUUUGAUACUGAUUGGCUUGAAUGCAGGAGAGGAUAACGGAACUCCCAGUGUAGAGGUGAAAUUCGUAGAUAUUGGGAAGAACACCGGUGGCGAAGGCGGCUAUCUGGACUGUGAUUGACGCUGAGGCGCGAAAGCGUGGGGAGCAAACAGG
rnacentral:rRNA from 1 species